UAUGGACAGGGUCAGCUUUCCUAUAUCUCUUCUCUUCUUAGACUAAAAAUGCAGAGAGAUUCCUGCCUCUCUCCCAAAGCGUGGCCAGCUGUCUCAUGGGGGACUUGAAGGUUGGUGUCCCCCAGAGUCGACUGGACUUCACCCUUCUUUCUUCCCUCUCCAUGGAUUACUGCUGAGGGUCUCUUCUGUUCCCUCGCCUUGCCAUGUAUAGUGGCUGAUGACGCCUGGCUCUCCAUCAGGGAAGGGACUGGGAGAGUCAAGCCAUUGUUACCUGUCACUGCAACUCAACUCCAUAACU
rnacentral:lncRNA from 1 species